rnacentral:rRNA from 1 species
UAAUGUAUGGGGAUCUGCCCGAUAGAGGGGGAUAACUACUGGAAACGGUGGCUAAUACCGCAUAAUGUCUACGGACCAAAGCAGGGGCUCUUCGGACCUUGCACUAUCGGAUGAACCCAUAUGGGAUUAGCUAGUAGGUGGGGUAAAGGCUCACCUAGGCGACGAUCUCUAGCUGGUCUGAGAGGAUGAUCAGCCACACUGGGACUGAGACGCGGCCCAG